GACAGAAGACCCCAUGGUUGUGGCCGUGGCCGUGUGCUGACCGACCAGCAGGAGUGGACAGUGUUGGAAAUGGUGAGGGCCAGGAAUGACAUACGGCUGUCUGAAAUAAAGCAGGCCAAUGAGGAGAACGAUGACACAUUUGCCAAUGUGGCAUCCAUCAGCCUACCAACAAUCGCCUGCCUUUUGAAGAGGCACCAGAUAUUUAUGAUACACAUUUACCUGGUGCCUUUUGAGAGAAACAUGAACGGUGAAACAACUGCGGGCCGAGUUCAGGAGAAAGCCCUACCGGGGUGAGAUCAUCAUCAACAUCUGGAACGGAGCGGGGAGAGAAAGUGAAGGAUGCACCACUGAGAGCAUUCUGUCGGGCUGCAU